CCCAGUUGACGAAGGCUUUGCUCUCUGAUCUUCGGGAUGAAUAUUCUGGUGCUGCUUUCGCUGGUGGGCGUGGCUGCCUGCAGCACCUCCCUCAUCGGGUUGGAUCGAGCGAGGGACGUGGAGCUGCAGUACACCUUCGUCGACGACGCCGGGCAAGAGGUGAGGGUGGAAG